rnacentral:rRNA from 1 species
AUUCAAAGAGUGCGUAACAGCUCACUGGUCGAGUGGACAUGCGCCGACAAUACACGGGGCUAAGCUGGACACCGAAGCGGCGGGAUUUUAAUUCAUUAGAAUCGGUAGGGGAGCUUCCCAUGGGCGGAGAAGCCGGAGGGCGACCGACGGUGGAGCGCAUGGGAGUGAGAAUGCUGGCAUGAGUAGCGAGAGACGAGAGAGUAACUCGUCCGCCGUGAACCCGAGGUUUCCUGGGCAAGGCUAAUCCUCCCAGGGUCAGUCGGGGGCUAAGGCGAGGCCGGGAGGCGUAGCCGACGCGCAGCAGGCAGACAUUCCUGCACCGCGCACGCGGCGCUACGACCGACGGGGCGACGGAUGGGGGUGGCUCGGCGGGGUUCUGGACGUCCCCGUGAUGGAGCGCGGCCCGCGGACCAGGGAAAUCCGGUCCGCAUUGAGGGCGAGGCUCCGGACGAAGCGACUGAGCGAAGCGAGUGAGCCCGAGGUCCCUAGAAAAACCCCUAGGCAGGCGCGUGCGCGCCCGUACCGCAAACCGACACAGGUGGGUGGGUAGAACAUACCGAGGCGAUCGGGUCAACCAUGGUCAAGGAACUCGGCACAAUGGCCCCGUAACUUCGGGAGAAGGGGUGCCCGCGCGUACGUGAACCGGCUUGCCCGGGGAGCGGAGGCGGGCCGCAGUGGAGAGGCCCAAGCGACUGUUUACCAAAAACACAGGACUCUGCAGAAGCCGCAAGGCGACGUAUAGGGUCUGACGCCUGCCCGGUGCCGGAAGGUCACGCGGAGGAGUUAGCUUUCGAGCGAAGCCCCGAAGCCAAGCCCCGGUAAACGGCGGCCGUAACUAUAACGGUCCUAAGGUAGCGAAAUUCCUUGUCGGGUAAGUUCCGACCUGCACGAAAGGCGCAACGACUUGGGCGCUGUCUCGACCAUGGACCCGGUGAAAUUGCACUGGUCGUGAAGAUGCGACUUACCCGCGGAAGGACGGAAAGACCCCGUGAACCUUCACUGCAGCUUGGCAUUGGCCGCUGGUCCCGCGUGUAGAGGAUAGGCAGGAGGCAUCGAUCCGGAGGCGCCAGCCCCCGGGGAGCCGCCCUUGGAAUACUGCCCUCGCGCGACCGGCGUCCUAACCCGAGGCCGUCAACCGGCUCGGGGACCGUGCCAGGCGGGCAGUUUGACUGGGGCGGUCGCCUCCUAAAGGGUAACGGAGGCGCGCGAAGGUCCGCUCGGGACGGUCGGCAACCGUCCUUUUGAAUGCAAGAGUACAAGCGGGCUUGACUGCGAGGCCCACAAGCCGAGCAGGUGCGAAAGCAGGCUCUAGUGAUCCGGCGGCCCCGAGUGGGUGGGCCGUCGCUCAACGGAUAAAAGGUACUCCGGGGAUAACAGGCUGAUCUUGCCCAAGAGUCCACAUCGACGGCAAGGUUUGGCACCUCGAUGUCGGCUCAUCGCAUCCUGGGGCUGGAGCAGGUCCCAAGGGUACGGCUGUUCGCCGUUUAAAGCGGUACGCGAGCUGGGUUCAGAACGUCGUGAGACAGUUCGGUCCCUAUCCUCCGUGGGCGCAGGAGAAUCGAUGGAGGCUGCCCCCAGUACGAGAGGACCGGGGUGGACGCACCUCCGGUGAACCGGUUGUCGACCAACGGCACGGCCGGGUAGCCGCGUGCGGCGCGGAUAACCGCUGAAGGCAUCUAAGCGGGAAGCCGUUCCAGGGAUUAGUUCUCCUUCCGGUAAGGGCCCAGGUAGACUACCUGGUCGAUAGACGGCAGGUGCAAGGGCGGCGACGUCCUCAGCCGAGCCGCACUAAUCGCCCGAGCUCUUCCGGAA